AAUAGGCUAAUUAAGAGCGUAAGGGGAAUGCCUUGGCUCUCAGAGGCGAUGAAGGACGUGAUAAGCUGCGAUAAGCUUUGGGGAGUGGCACAAACACUUUGAUCCGAAGAUUUCCGAAUGGGGCAACCCGGCAUAUUGAAGAUAUGUCACACUGUAAAGUGAGCAAACCUGGUGAACUGAAACAUCUAAGUAACCAGAGGAAUAGAAAACAAAAGUGAUUCCGCUAGUAGUGGCGAGCGAACGUGGAACAGCCCAAACCUAUGUUGUUAC
rnacentral:rRNA from 1 species